ACCCAGGCGCCCCAAGCAUCUGACUCCUGAUUUCUGCUCAGGCGGCUGGACUUUGCAAGGCCACACGCCCUCUCGUCGGCUGCAGAGAGCCGAUGCAGCCCGCAGAGAUGGUCCAGAGAUGCCAGCCGAGGGGGGUCAUCCCGGGGAGAAGCCUGGGGCUUCCUUCCAGCCCAGGAGCGUCACGGUGGCAGGAUGGGACCUUCAGUCCCCUCUGGUGCUGAGAGCUGGAUUCUGAAAGCUCAGGAUGAUGGAACCACCUCAUAACACUUCAGAAUGAGUUUGCUCUCUCCAAAAGACAGAUUCAACUGUUUCUAAUUUAUUUGUUCCUGACCGUCCUGUUUACCACAAAAU